CCCUUAGAUGUCCUGGGCCGCACGCGCGCUACACUGACAUGUUCAACAAGCCUCCUAGUUCGACAGGAUUUGGGAAAUCUUUGAACGCAUGUCGUGAUAGGGAUAGAUCAUUGCAAUUAUUGAUCUUGAACGAGGAAUUCCUAGUAAACGCAGGUCAUCAGCCUGCAUUGAUUACGUCCCUGCCCUUUGUACACACCGCCCGUCGCACCAACCGAUUGGAUGUUUUGUUGAAAUAUGUGGAUGUUUUUUGAGUGGAUUAAUUUUCACUCGCUAGACAGAAACGUAUUAAAACUGAAUAUCUAGAGGAUGGUGAAGUCGUAACA
rnacentral:rRNA from 1 species